GUCAGAACUGUGAAAAAUUUACUAAACUACUGCAGAACAUAGUUAACUGAGAAAGUUAGCCUUAAAAAAAUAAAAAUAGGAUUAGUAAUCUGUUCCAACUCACCAUCGGAUGUCGAUAUAAUCUUUAUUGUCUUAGGGUACUCAGCUGCAGCGGACAGGAGAACAACAGUGUUGUUUCAGCUCCUUUGAGUUUCCCAACAGAUCUAACCAAACCUGAUCCUAAAUUUUUCUAUCAGCUGUAAGUUCUAACGUAGAAAAUAAUGUUACAUAGUACUGAAUAAUUGUACCUCUCGUUCGAUAAAAAUUAUGUUCACAUUUUUCAUCUUGUGAAAUAUUUAACAUAACAUUUUUAAUUGGCCUUUUGCGGGAGUGACGUUGCGAGAACAUUUGGAUUUGGCUACAGCCGAAAUUGGCUAAACUGAAAUUUUGGUUUGACUUAAAUUAGAUGUCACUGCAGGUAAACAAAGUUAUAUUCGUGCUGCAUGGGAAUUGGAGGAAAAUAGAUGUGGAUGUGUCGGUGAGAGGAAAACAAAAAUAAAAAAUAAAUAUCAAACAAUGUCACAGUAAAAAGAGUGUAGGGAAAAUUAUUAAAAUAAAUUAAACUGGGAGAAAUAAUCCUUUUUUUUUUUAGGGACUAAUGCAUGGCCAUGAGCUCUGCUGGAAACACCCAUAAAAUCGCUUUACAUUCAUCAGGUACAUUACAAAAGAGCCUCAUCAAUGGUUAGUCAUGCUGGAUAAUGAGAACAUAACAAUAAUCUGUCUCCCUAGUUUGGUUGGGUAAAAGGGAAAGAGGUGUUUAUAUGUCUGAUGUUUUAUAGGAACCAGUGUAUCACAAGAGGUAGGACGACAAUUGGCUAAAGGAAAAAAGUCUUUAAGUUUAUCAUCACAGGAUGGCAUGGUAAAUAAAUAAAUAAAUAAACAAACAAACAAACAAAUAAAUAAAUAAAUAAAAAUAAGAGAGAAAAAGGAAAAUUAAUUAAAUGAAACGUAAUAGUACUAAAAUGUUAAACUGUUCUAAAUCUGUCAUGGAAUCAGUGCCACUGGAAAAAGGAGUAGGUAAAAAGAGGAUAGGGGAGUAUCUCUUAGCACAAAUCACGUUAUUGAUUCAGCAAUGCAGCUGAAUUUCAGGUGCUUUAAGGAUGAUGCUAAUUUGUGUUAUAGAUGGAGAAGUAGAACAGAAACACACAUCUAAACGAGUAGAUAAGGGAAAUUACUGACAAUACUAGGGUUUUAGGAUGUUUGGCUUUAAGUAAUUCGUGGUUUGACAAGCAAAUAUAUACAAACAACCCGGUAACUGCAGUUUCGUUAUUUAUGAAUUAACCUUAAGUAGUGAAUUAAUUCUUAGGAUUUCUUGUGCUAGUGAGGUUCUUAAAGGAAAAAGGAAAGAAAAUAAGAAAGAAGGUUCAUAAUUGGGGUGAAUAUUAAGGGACAUUGGAAAACCUGAAACUAUUUUGUUGAAUUGAUAGUAAAGUGGUUGUCCUAAUUUUUAAUUGGAGAGAUCACACCGCAACAUGAGUUCAGAACAGUAGUUAUGGGAAGUUUUGUUGGAUUAAUUUGAUCACACGCUUUAGGUCUUAUUCUUUUCUUUCCACUGAUUUAGUGUUCGGUUCAUUUAAACCAAGCGGAAACACAGACUUGAGAGAAUAAGUAGUUUAGUUGUGCGUGUCCCGCUCUUGCAGUUUGAGCAUUUUUCCAGAAAUAAUCUAGAUGUUUAAGAAGUGGAAGGAAGCUCUUGAUGAAAUUACUAACAUGCAUGCCUACUUAAAUGAGGAAUUUCACACUUUCGCUUCAGUCUGACAUUUGCUUGGUGUGUGAGGGCACAGAGACGUGUAUGGACCGUGUGUUUGACUGUGUUUGUUUUGUUUGUUUGUUCAUUUAUUUAUAUGGGCAUGGCCGAGCCUUGAGAAACAUCAACAAAGCCAUUGGACUAUUCUGAGUAAAUUAACCAAUUUAAAUUCAAAUUCAGGAUCCUGAAACAAUUCGGUUAUAAUCUCUAAUUGGUGAAGACCAUCUUAAGAAUUCAUUGUACAAGGCAUCAUCUCCAGUGUUACUGGAACUGUUUUGAAACCCAUGCAUGGUUGUAUAUUUUAGUUAAAUCAUUUAGACUCAUUAAAUUAUUGUUGUUUGCUUUAUGUUUUAAUCUCUUUGCAAUUUUUCUCUGUGACACAGGUGAAGAUGCUGGUGGCAAAGUGGAUCCCACUCAUUUCUUCUUCCCACACACAUUCUUACUCUCUCUCUCUGUGUAUGUGCAUGUAUAUGUGUUUGUGUGUCCAUGUGUGUCCAUGUCGUGAUGUCACUGUACCUCUAAUUGCGCUUGCUGUUUGUAACUGUAUGUGUCUGAUGUUGAAGGUAUCAGAGGCUAGGGUCAGUAAGAGUUAGGACAUUUUUGUGCAUAACCUUUAAUCCCUAGGCGAUCGGUUCGGGGGACGUCUGGUCCGGCCGGAGUGCGAGUCUUCCUGGUGUUGCACAGUGACCAAGGGAGAGGAUGGAAAAAGAUGAAGAUUGGACUCUCAUGAACUCACGUCGAUACCUGAGACGAAGACUAACGGAUAGUGUUGCUUCUCGCCUUACUGGGACUAGAUUGACUAACAUAAGAAGAAGUUUGCUUACUUUUGUUCCAGUUUUACGACUUUGAAUUAGUUCCUGAGUAGUACUGGUAUUGUUUUAAUGGUCCGAGGGGAGGUUACUGCAAAUGGGGUCGUAGUUUUAAGGUGUACGUAAAGCUUUUGGGUGGGCCAGAAGGGCCAGGGAGAUCUGAGAUUAUGAAGAGAUAAAUCCUAACAGAAUAUAGCAUGUGUGUGUUCCAGGUAAACUACCAAUAAUGAGCCCAGAACUGACACGUUUCUGGUUAGUGCUUAGAGCACGUUAAUGACAAAGUUAUAGAUCAUAAUGCUACAGGUUAAUUCCUCGUAUGCAGAGGAUUCCGAAUUACAGAUGAUAGGCGACUCAACGUGAGUUUACCGUAUAAUCUUAGGUUUCACAUCAUUUUUGUUCCCGUUUGUGUCAAAAUUCUUUAACUUAAUGUGAUAACGUAACCAUGACUGUUACUACUCCGUUUCAGGUGCAACAGAUCUUCUGGUGGGUGCUGGAUGUCAUGUUUUGACUAGUGUUUUCUUAUUGUGAUGGAUUAGCAUGUGUUCGUUUUUGAGGGUGUGUGGAUGUUGCAUGAAGGGUUUUGAAUGUGGUUUCGAAGGAUAAGGAACAGAUUAGGUGAUUCUGGUUGAGUUUAGGUCGGAUUUGCUGAAUGAUUUUUAAUUUGGUUUUAAGGACUUAUUUCUGGUCGUUUUACCGAGCGGCCAUUUACAUUACUCCUGGUUAUCGAGACAAUCAUGUGAGUUUUGCUCUUACCGUUAACCCAUAAAUGCUUGAGUAAAUCAUUGCAUGCCUUACUACCAAAUUAGCCCUUUAAUUUAGGAUAGUGGGUAGGAUAGAAAGGGGGUGUGAAUGUGCGGAUGGAUGCUUUGUCUAUGGGUCUAAAGUUUAGAAAGUUUUUGUGGUAAUAGGUUUAUAGGCAAUUGGCGUGCUAAUUCAAGUUUUUCUUGUUGACAUGUUGUGUUUUGCUUGCUGUGGGGAGGAUGAGGUCGGCACCACCACGCUGCACGCAGAUGGACAAAGGGAGGACUGAGCCAAGAACUUAUGCCUUUGCUUUGCUGACAAAUAAAGGACACUUGUCCACAUAAAGCCCUCCUCAAGCAGAAGACCUCCAAUGACGACAUGGAUGCUGAACUUGUAUUUUCCGUUUUAUUCUUUUGAAUUAAAUCUUCAACCGGAUUUAUUACUGUUUCAUUAUGUCUUCGCUAAAGCUAAUUGUUCAUUAUUCAUCAUAUUUGUCACCUGUUUAUCUUCAUGUGCCUUUGUUGUUUUGUGUGUUCUUUCUUUUGACCACUGAUGAGGAUAUUUGUCACCUGAUGUCCUCAAGCUAGUCCUCGCAUGCCAGCUCUGUGCUCCGGCGUUCGUCCCCUUGGGUUGGGGAGGACAUGGGAGAAUUUUCCCUGUUAAAGUACAGCGGACAGGGUUUUUCGCCCCCGUAUGGGGUGCGCAUGCAAUACAUUUGUGAAGUAAUGAGUUCAGUUAAUGCUAAAAUCAUGUUUCAUGUAUUGUUUCACAGUUUUUCAUUGUCUCAGCUGUAAACUCAUCGGUUGUUUUUCAGUUACUUAAUCAUUGUUCAUUACAUAUACAAGUUGAAGUUGCUGUGUUAUUCUGGAACAUCAUCUCGUGUUUUGGUAUGGGUACUUUAUGCAUUUUUGAUUCAAGAUCAUAUGUUAUACCCUUUUGUUUCCAUUUUUUGUUAUUUUGUUAGAUUAUCUUUAUUUGCUGCUCAUUUCUUCUGUUACUUAGUUAAGCAUUCAUUUAUUGAUAUACCCUACAUUGCUGAUUCGUUUACAAUGGUGGUGUGUGGCGCACAAGUCCGCCAAAGGGAGGACUGUUGUCGCCAAGAAGGUCAAGAGGUCAUCUACAACAUAUAUUGAGUUGAAUUAUGAGUCCUUAGGUUAAAAGCUUACUGAGAAAGCUGUGUUCUGUGUACGUGAGGUUUAACAUGUCCAGCUUGUGUGGGCCAGCUCCAGUGGACCUUGAGCCCUUGGAUCAUGUCGGGAUAACAGGGCUGGUUGACCUCUGGGCUGGAGGGUGCGUCGACCAUUUGGAAGUGUAAAUAUCACCCCAUCCUCUCUCCACAUUUGUCAAGGGACUGUGGGAGUGGCCCAGGGACAGAGGGUAUGAAUUUGGGACUCCACAUGUGGUCGAGGUCUUUUGUAGUUGGCUGUCCUGAGAUGUGAGAUGAAUGAGUAAAGAGACCCGCGCUGUCUGACUGAGCUGCCCGUCUCCGACUGCUUCUUUAAGAAUAACAGAGAAACCCCACAGUAUGAUUUCCAGCAUGUCGUCUACAUAGUGUUUCCAUAAUUUUAUUUUGCAGUCUGGGGGGGCCAGUGGUUAUGGCUUUUUGUUCUAGGUCUUUCAUGAAAAACUCGCACUUGGUGGCUGAUAACGGGUUGCCCAUGGCGAAGCCUUCCAGUUGUUUGUAUCUUGUGUCAUCGUAUGUGAAGUAAGUGGAGUUAGCUACCAGUCCUAUCAGUUCUGCUAUGUCAUCUGCUGUGAGGUUUGUUCUUUUCUGUAAAUUCUUGUCCUCUCUGAUUCUAUUAACUACUAUGUCUAUGUUUUUUUUGGGUCGGUGUUUUUGUGAACAGGGAUGUGGCAUAAUGUGAGAUGAGGAUGUUGUUAUCUUCUAUUGUAAUCUUUUUUAGUUCUUUUGCCAGUUCUAUGCUAUUUUUGCAAUGUUGAUCUGUGUUACCUAACAACGGGCUGAUUAUUUUGCUGAUUUCUCUUGCCAUGUUGUAUGUUGGUGUAUCUAUGCUGUCUACUAUUGGUCUAAGUGGAUGUUUUGUUUGUGUAUUUUUGGAGUUCCGUAGAUUCUUGGUGUUAUGUUUGCUGUCGGAAUCCAGAGUUUGUACAUUUUUCUGUUAUUUAGCCUUUUUUCUUGUAGUGGCUCCAGUAAUUUUUUCAUGUUUUUCUUAAUGUUUUCCGUUGGGCCUUUUAAAGUAUUUUGUAUGUAUUUUUGUCCUCCUGCAUCUGUUUCAUCUGUUGUUUAUAUUUUUCUUUGUCCAUUACCACUGUGGUUCUUCCUUUGUCUGAUGGUAGAAUGAUUAUCUGUUCAUUUUUGGAUAAAGCUGUCAUGGCUGAUUGUUCUUCUUUUGUAAUAUUGCUGUGUUGAAUUUGGCUGUUCUUUAAUAUCCCAAUAACAUUAUUUCUAAGUUC